CGCCCGUCGCCGAGCGGAACCGGACCGAGCCCGGCGGCGGCUGCGCUCCCGCGGCCACGGGAGCGAGAGGAACAGAAAAACAUUGUUCAAUAAAAAAAAAAAAAGUUUUAUUUUUAGGAAAACGUUUGCAAAGGAGAGAGAGAGAAACGACCUCGGACGGAGAGAGAACGGCGGAGGGGCUGCGGCCGGGGCUGCCCGCAGUGCGCUGCCGUCGGGGCCCGACCGGUGGGUCCGUACGGAGCGCUACGGCCGGGGGGGGCUGCAGGAGCGAAUGGAGAGCGGCAGAAACGCGGAGGGCUCCGUUCUCGUUAGUCCGACUCGUAGAAAUGUAACCAAAAGGGGUACAUCAACUCAGCGCGAAAACACACACGCCGAUUUCGGUAGCUCGGGAUAACUCGAGAGGAAUUGGAAGAGUCUGUCAGGAAAACAACAGCAACAACAACAAUAAUAACAGCAAUAACAAUUGCCGGAGGUGGGGGAUAAAAAAAAAAAAGAGAGAGAGAGUGGAAAAGUUCCGAGCCGCAAAGUUUGCGCCGAUCGUAGGGACGCAAAAUGCGCGCAGAGGGCCGUUCGCCUCCCCCAGCACUGUGCGAGGGACGCUGCAGCGCUGAGCUCUGUAAUAAUGAUUAAUAAGUCAAAAGGGCAUAUUUUGCUUUUACGGUAUGCAGCGCUCCAGGGAAUAUUCUGCGUACGGCUUUAAAACGAAGUAGGGAUAUUUACACACAUGCACGGAGUUAGCAACAGCACCAAAGGCAGAAAAAACCCCUCGAAUAUUUCAGCGAACUAUUACAUUUUUUCAAUUAUUUCCCAAUGAGCAUUUCAAUGAACUGUUACAUUUUCCCAAUUCGCGGGGAAGAUUUAUGGGAUUAUUAAGAUUUCUAGUGGAAAUAUUAUCCAGUGGAAGUUUAUCGUCUCUCAGGGGCUGUACACCAUUUGAUAUCAAUUUCCAGAUGUUAUGAUCUUUUUUCAGAAAAUAAUUGAGCACAUUACCUCCCUUCCUACAGAAGACCCUUUCGGUGUUUAUUUAUUUAUUCUGUCGGGGGCACGGCUGUCUCUUCUCCCCCAGAACGAAAUUUCUCGAAACGCUCGAGCAAACUUAAAUCAGAAACUGCUCGAUCCUCGGGGGGAGGAAUAAUUCAUUUGCGGGGUCGUUACGGGCAGAAGCCCGUGGGUUUGCCUCCUCUUCCACGCCACGCUUCGCGCGGAGGACGCAGCCCACGACGGCCGCCGGAGCGUUCCGGCCCCGCGGGCGGGCG
ensembl:lncRNA